GUGAAUUGAAUAUGUUAGCGGACCUCUUCGGAGUCCCUAGCAUCAAAUCAUAUCCAUAACACCUGUGAACUGUAAGGCUGUCUUGAAAACGAAAGUGAUUAGAGCGCCUGCCCAUUUUAUACAAACAUUAAAGUAACAAACGUAGUCUUAUUAUAAUCUAAUA
rnacentral:misc_RNA from 3 species